GUGCUUUUAUUUAACAUUAAAAAAGAAUGUAGACAUUGAUCGAGGAUCAAUGAUUUUAAAAAAAUUGCAUUUAUUGAGCAAACUAUCUGUAAAACGUGUACAUAAAUAGUUAUUGGUGUUGUGUAACAGAAUAUACGAUAUUGGAAACGUUAUCAUAUAAAAUUAUCAUCAGUUGGAUUUUGUAUCUAUCAAGUAAAUGGAUAUGUCACCUGCACAUAAUAAAAUGGAACUUGAACCAUUGAAACAAUCAUUAAACCUACCUGACGCAUCUUAUCAGUGUACCAUGCAAAAUAGUUACAUUAUCGAAUCUAAUAAUGAUUCAACAGUCAGUACAGUGCCUCAUCAGCAUAUGCAGGAAGAGCAGAACAGUAGCAGAGCAACAGAAAGUACCAAUUUGACGCCAAGCAGAAGUCAAACAUAUUUUGCUGAUGAAAAAGUUCGGAUUCCAGACACAGAUAAUAGCAUAUUUAGUUUCAAAAAAUUAUGGGCAUUCACAGGUCCUGGAUUUUUAAUGUCCAUAGCUUAUCUAGAUCCUGGGAAUAUAGAAUCUGAUUUACAGUCUGGAGUAGCUGCUAAGUAUAAAUUAUUAUGGGUAUUACUAAGCGCAACAAUCCUAGGUCUUGUUAUGCAAAGACUAAGCGCAAGGCUCGGCGUGGUAACAGGUUUGCAUCUAGCAGAAAUGUGUUACAGACAAUAUAAAAAAGUACCUAGAAUGAUUUUAUGGAUAAUGAUAGAAGUAGCUAUAAUUGGUAGUGACAUGCAAGAAGUAAUAGGAACAGCCAUUGCUCUGUCUUUAUUGACAAACAAAGCGAUUCCUAUAUGGGGCGGUGUGUUAAUCACUGUAAUCGACACUUUUACAUUUUUAUUAUUGGACAAAUAUGGUUUAAGAAAAUUGGAAUUCUUUUUUGGAUUUCUUAUCACAAUAAUGGCUGUUACCUUUGGUUACGAGUAUAUUGUUUCCGCACCCCCGCAAAAUGAAGUGAUUAGCGGAAUGUUUGUACCGUGGUAUAAACAUUAUGACAGUAAUAUGUUACUACAAGCCGUUGGAAUUGUUGGUGCAGUCAUAAUGCCACAUAAUUUAUAUCUUCACAGUGCUCUUGUUAAAUCAAGGGACAUCGAUCGUAGGGAAUACAAGAAAGUUAAAGAGGCAAAUAUGUAUUAUUUUGUCGAAGCCUGCAUUGCGCUUUUAGUUUCUUUCAUUAUUAACGUUUUCGUUGUCGCGGUGUUUGCCCAUGGUCUUUAUCAAAAAACGAAUCUAGAAGUUUAUAAUCUUUGUGAAGCAAAUAACUAUACUAUGGGUAUGGAAACAUUUGAAAAAGCGAAUACAACGAUAUCAGUAGAUUUAAACAAAGGUGGUAUAUUUCUUGGGUGUGCCUUUGGUGCGGCUGCAAUGUACAUUUGGGCUGUUGGUAUUUUUGCUGCUGGCCAGUCUUCCACAAUGACGGGAACGUACGCAGGACAGUUUGCGAUGGAAGGUUUCUUGAAUCUUCAGUGGGCUCGUUGGAAGCGAGUUCUCUUCACAAGAAUGAUCGCCAUCGUACCUACUUUUCUCGUUGCAUUCUUUAGUGAUAUAGAUAAUUUAACUGGAAUGAACGACAUUUUAAACGCUAUUAUGACACUUCAGUUACCUUUUGCAACGUUACCAACAAUAGCAUUUACCAGUAGCGCUCAAAUAAUGGGUGAAUUCAAGAAUGGAAUAACGAAUAAAGUUGUUGCAACAGCAUUGUCUGCUGUUGUAAUAACCAUAAAUAUAUAUUUUGUAAUAAAUACGGUUCGGGAAGAUUUACCACAUCACUGGGCGGUGAUACUUGCAAUUUCUAUUUAUUCUAUUUUGUAUCUUUUAUUCUGUCUUUAUCUUGUCAUUCAUAUGGCUGUGAGCAUGGGUGCAAGUUCUCUCAAUGACUACUGGCUUGUGAAAAAAUAUGUCGGAAGUCCUGUAAGUACAACACUUGGAUUAUCAAAUCCUGCUGUGUAUGCAAGCUUCUUCAAUGUAUCAGAAACAUCCCUAAACAUAUAAUUGAGUUUGCUUCAUAAAAGUUCUUUAAACAAGUUAUUCUUCUAAAUUCAAAAUGUGCAUAUUUUAAAACAAUUGCAACAUCAUCCGAGUUCAACAUUAUUCAUGGUAUUUACUUCUUAUCUAUCAGGUUUAUUUUAUCAUGCGUGUGUUUAUUAAAAUUUGAUUAAUGAUUUUUUUUUUUUUUGAACAAUUAACCACGUAUAUUUUCAUUGCAUGUUCGUUUUUAACGAGCGAAAGGGUGGGCUUUCGAUAUUAACUUAAUUUUCGAAAUUUUCUAACAGAAGAUCGAAUCCUGCAUUUAACAUUCAAGAAAAUUGGACCGGAAGUUUCUCUGCAAUACCGGAAAGCUAGUUAUUUAUUUUUAUUAUAGAAAUACGGUAAAGUGUAUAAUACUCAUGAAUCGUGGCUCAUAUUUUUUAAAAUUUUAAAAAAUUGUACAAAAUUGAAAACUAGACUUUUACAAUCGAAUCGUACUUUUAAAUUCUUUUAUCUGAUAUAUUUAAAUAUUGGCGUAUUAUAUACAAGACAAUUACAUUUGUACAUACUUAUACUAAUUGUAUAAUAAAAUAAUUUAAUUCCUUAAAAGUAACCGUGUAAAAAAAAAAUGAAAACAUUUGAAUAAAUAUAAUUUAAAAGUGCAAAAAAUGUGAUAUGUGAAAAGUCGUUUAAAUAGUAAAUAACACAGACUUGGGAAUCAGUUUGCUCCCGCCCGCUGUAGAGGACGGAUCGUUGUUGGUAUGUAGAAAUACUUUUGAAUUAAAACUCUCAUUCUGAACGAGCGUACAAUAUUUUUAACAUCCAUUAUUAAAACGAAUAAUAAUUCUAACAACUGUAUAGUUUUAAAUAUUUGUUUUAUUCACUUUCAAAUGUCACAAAAAUAUUUCAAAUUCGAUACGAUUUAUAUUUGUACAUAUAUCAUAAUAUCAAUCAAUUACAUAUUAUAGAGGAAAAUAGUUGAGUUAGAAAAAAUUUUAAACCAAUAUUCGACUCAGGCAAAACGUAAUUCAUUUUUUGGUUUUGAGUAUUGUCUAUUUUUUUUUUAAGUCUAAUUCGUCGCGUGUUUCGAACGUAUUGUUCACAAGUUAUUUUGAAACUAAAGAUAAAAAGGUUAAGACAUAUGUUUCUAUUUAAAAGUAAUAUUUCUCUUUAGUUCUUGUAACUUAAGAAUAGUAUGACUAGACAUUUCGUAAACUAUGGCAAACAUAUCUUUAGAUUUUAUAAUAUUUAAAUGUUUUAUACUUGACAUCAAUACAAAUUCAAUUACAAUGUACAAUAAAAUUGAAUAAAUGUUAAUUUAAUUAUAUAAAUAUAAUGUAUGGUAAAUAAUGUGCACCCUGAGUGAAAAAAUGUAAAAUAAUGCAGUUGUUUUAAAGAAUUUAUAGAAAAAUAUCUUUUAUCAAUAUAUCAUUAAAACUGUUAUCUUUCCUCUGUAUUACCAUACAUUAUUAAUUAGCAAAUAACUUUUAAUACUUCUUCUGUAAUUAAUUCGUAAACGUUUUUAUAGAUCACCUUUCCAUAUUUUUAAAAAUCACAGAUAACAUUUUUAUGUUUCUAGAAAUCAAUUUAAGUAAUAUAGUGCUUUGCAAUCACAAAAAUAAUUAAGAAUCUAAUAGUUUUAUCAGAUCAUUAAAAAUUCUUAUAAAAGUUGUCUUAUCAUUUUGUCUACUGUUUCCUUCCUUAUCAGCUAUAUUCUUUAUUUUUCAUCGAUUUAGAUUUGCAAACA